rnacentral:rRNA from 1 species
AUUGAACGCUGGCGGCAGGCCUAACACAUGCAAGUCGAACGAGUGGCGGACGGGUGAGUAAUGUCUGGGAAACUGCCCGAUGGAGGGGGAUAACUACUGGAAACGGUAGCUAAUACCGCAUCCCAUCGGCUGUGCCCAGAUGGGAUUAGCUAGUAGGGGGGGUAACGGCUCACCUAGGCGACGAUCCCUAGCUGGUCUGAGAGGAUGACCAGCAACCAGGGAACUGAGCAACGGUCCAGACUCCUACGGGGGGCAGCAGUGGAGAAUAGUGCACAAUGGGCGCAAGCCUGAUGCAGCCAUGCCGCGUGUAUGAAGAGGGCCGUCGGGUUGUAAAGUACUUUCAGCGAGGAGGCGUUACUCGCAGAAGAAGCACCGGCUAACUCCGUGCCAGCAGCCGCGGUAAUAC